rfam:Heterocephalus glaber contig77920, whole genome shotgun sequence.
UGCUAGCAGCUUAAAAUAGCUUGUUGUAAUUGUAAGAUGUUUAAGCCUUGUGACAA